GAGUACACGGGUACCAUCCCGAAGACCACCCGAGCAUAACCAUUAGGUUAAAUUGGUUAGUUUGUCCCAUGCUCGUGUCCGUCCGCGACAACGGCGGAGCCAAUACAUCGGCGAGCCUGUUCCGGGCAACAGAAUGUGGUAGCACUUAAAUUGGGGGCAAGGCGAGUAUCAUCGGCUCACCAGAGGUGCGAUACACACGCGAAUUCUGACGGAGGAAGCACGGGAGAGCCGGUCGACGUGGAGGCAGUCUGAGGCUACGUUCUGCAGCGACGAGACGACGUUCUCAAAGUUUCGCUACGGUAGAGUUCAAACGUCUGAUUUUGUAAGCAACUAGGGGCUAGAGAGGUUCCAAAACAUGAGCUAGAGGGACAUGAACUAACCAGAGGAGCGCUGACCGCGGCAAAGCUCCACACGACGGCACUGAUGAUUGGUUUCGGGAAAAUCUAGUGAACUUGGGCUACGGUAAACGACGAAAGGGGGUUGAGAGUCAGCUAGACACAUAACAGAGAGGCGGAGCAAGGGGAACACUCAAUUUAAAGAGAUCGAUUGCGUGCUUCGCAAAUUCAGGAUGAGAGUAUCCAUGGAGGCGACGAGAUAUUCUCACUAGGUUCGUUCACCAUGGCGCACAUUUAGCUCAGUGACUUGGGGACUUGUUUCACCGUCCGCCACCCUCGCUAAGACGGGGUGAAGCAAGGAUAUGUGUGGCUUGACAAGGGUGACCGACGGAUCAUGACGGCGGUAACUUUGCCAUGACGUCGGGGCAAGUGGUCACUGGUGUUCGGCCGACUCCG
rnacentral:lncRNA from 7 species